rnacentral:rRNA from 1 species
CAAGUCGAACGAGAAAGUUCCCUUCGGGGAAUGAGUAAAGUGGCGCACGGGUGAGUAACACGUAGGUAUCUACCUUCGGGUGGGGAAUAACGCAGGGAAACUUGCGCUAACACCGCAUAAUGCAGCGGCACCACAUGGUGACAGUUGUUAAAGCGGGGGAUUUUAGGACCUCGCGCCUGAAGAGGAGCCUGCGGCGGAUUAGCUAGUUGGUAGGGUAACGGCUUACCAAGGCGACGAUCCGUAACCGGCCUGAGAGGGCGGUCGGUCACACUGACACUGACAUACGGGUCAGACUCCUACGGGAGGCAGCAGUCGGGAAUUUUGGGCAAUGGGCGAAAGCCUGACCCAGCAACGCCGCGUGAAGGAUGAAAUCCCUCGGGAUGUAAACUUCGCAAGAAUAGGAAGAAUGAACGAGCGCUAAUACCGUUCGUGAUGACGGUACUAUUUGUAAGCUCCGGCUAACUCCGUGCCAGCAGCCGCGGUAAUACGGGGGGAGCAAGCGUUGUUCGGAUUUACUGGGCGUAAAGGGCGCGUAGGCGGCCAGCGCAAGUCAGUUGUGAAAUCUCCGGGCUUAACUCGGAAAGGUCAACUGAUACUGCGCGGCUAGAGUGCAGAAGGGGCAACUGGAAUUCUCGGUGUAGCGGUGAAAUGCGUAGAUAUCGAGAGGAACACCUGCCGGCGAAGGCGGGUUGCUGGGCUGACACUGACGCUGAUGCGCGAAAGCCAGGGGAGCGAACGGGAUUAGAUACCCCGGUAGUCCUGGCCUUAAACGAUGGAUGCUUGGUGUCUGGAGUUUUAUA